AACGCGAAGAACCUUACCAGGGCUUGACAUGCACGGUGCAGCCGUAGAGAUACGGUGUCCUUUGGGGUCGUGCACAGGUGGUGCAUGGUUGUCGUCAGCUCGUGUCGUGAGAUGUUGGGUUAAGUCCCGCAACGAGCGCAACCCUCGUCCUGUAUUGCCAGCAGCAUCUUCGGAUGGCUGGGGACUUGCGGGAGACUGCCGGGGUCAACUCGGAGGAAGGUGGGGAUGACGUCAAAUCAUCAUGCCCCUUAUGUCCUGGGCUGCACGCAUGCUACAAUGGCCGGUACAGAGGGCUGCGAUACCGUGAGGUGGAGCGAAUCCCGUAAAGCCGGUCUCAGUUCGGAUCGGGGUCUGCAACUCGACCCCGUGAAGUCGGAGUCGCUAGUAAUCGCAGAUCAGCAACGCUGCGGUGAAUACGUUCCCGGGCCUUGUACACACCGCUCGCGA
rnacentral:rRNA from 1 species